rnacentral:rRNA from 1 species
AUUGAACGCUGGCGGCAGGCCUAACACAUGCAAGUCGAGCGGAUGAAGGGAGCUUGCUCCUGGAUUCGGCGGCGGACGGGUGAGUAAUGCCUAGGAAUCUGCCUGGUAGUGGGGGAUAACGUCCGGAAACGGGCGCUAAUACCGCAUACGUCCUGAGGGAGAAAGUGGGGGAUCUUCGGACCUCACGCUAUCAGAUGAGCCUAGGUCGGAUUAGCUAGUUGGUGGGGUAAAGGCCUACCGAGGCGACGAUCCGUAACUGGUCUGAGAGGAUGAUCAGUCACACUGGAACUGAGACACGGUCCAGACUCCUACGGGAGGCAGCAGUGGGGAAUAUUGGACAAUGGGCGAAAGCCUGAUCCAGCCAUGCCGCGUGUGUGAAGAAGGUCUUCGGAUUGUAAAGCACUUUAAGUUGGGAGGAAGGGCAGUAAGUUAAUACCUUGCUGUUUUGACGUUACCAACAGAAUAAGCACCGGCUAACUUCGUG